GACAGAGGGUGCAAACGUUGUUCGGAAUUACUGGGCGUAAAGCGCGCGUAGGCGGCUUUGUAAGUUAGAGGUGAAAGCCCGGAGCUCAACUCCGGAACUGCCUUUAAGACUGCAUCGCUAGAAUUGUGGAGAGGUAAGUGGAAUUCCGAGUGUAGAGGUGAAAUUCGUAGAUAUUCGGAAGAACACCAGUGGCGAAGGCGACUUACUGGACACAUAUUGACGCUGAGGUGCGAAAGCGUGGGGAGCAAACAGG
rnacentral:rRNA from 1 species